rnacentral:rRNA from 1 species
AUUGAACGCUGGCGGCAGGCUUAACACAUGCAAGUCGAGCGGGGUGAUGGUGCUUGCACUAUCACUUAGCGGCGGACGGGUGAGUAAUGCUUAGGAAUCUGCCUAUUAGUGGGGGACAACAUCUCGAAAGGGAUGCUAAUACCGCAUACGUCCUACGGGAGAAAGCAGGGGAUCACUUGUGACCUUGCGCUAAUAGAUGAGCCUAAGUCGGAUUAGCUAGUUGGUGGGGUAAAGGCCUACCAAGGCGACGAUCUGUAGCGGGUCUGAGAGGAUGAUCCGCCACACUGGGACUGGGACACGGCCCAGACUCCUACGGGAGGCAGCAGUGGGGAAUAUUGGACAAUGGGGGGAACCCUGAUCCAGCCAUGCCGCGUGUGUGAAGAAGGCCUUAUGGUUGUAAAGCACUUUAAGCGAGGAGGAGGCUCUUUUGGUUAAUACCCAAGAUGAGUGGACGUUACUCGCAGAAUAAGCACCGGCUAACUCUGUGCCAGCCGCCACAGUAA